rnacentral:rRNA from 1 species
AGAGGGUGCAAGCGUUAAUCGGAUUUACUGGGCGUAAAGCGUGUGUAGGUGGUCGGGGGGAAAGUCAAUUGUGAAAGCCCAGGGGCUUAACUCUGGAACUGCUUUUGAUACUGUCUGACUAGAAUUCGGUAGAGGGAGGCGGAACUCCAGGUGUAGCGGUGAAAUGCGUAGAUAUCUGGAAGAACACCAAUGGCGAAGGCAACCUCCUGGGCCUGAAUUGACACUGAGACACGAAAGCGUGGGGAUCAAACAGGAUUAGAUACCCUGGUAGUCCACGCCGUAAACGAUGACAACUUGACGUCGGUCUGCUCUGCGAAUCGGUGUCGUAGCUAACGCGAUAAGUUGUCCGCCUGGGGAGUACGGCCGCAAGGUUG